CAGAGGUUGGGCCUGUAGACACUAACAGGAGGCAGGAGCUGGGCCUGGAGAGGUCAACUUGAGGAGAUUUUGGGCCUUCAUAGGCCACCAGGAGGCAGCAGUUGGGACUAGAGAGUCUGACUUGAGUAAGUUUUGGGCCCGGAGAUGACGUCCUGGGACAGGAGUUGGGCCUGGAGAGGCCACCGUGAGGCAUAAGCUGGAUGUAGAGAGGCCAGUGUGAGGCAAGACCUGGGCCUGUCUAGGCUGCUGGGAGACAGGCAGGAAUCUGGCCAGGGAAGGUUGCCAUGAGACAAAAGUUGGGCCUGGAAAGGCCCUUGUGAAGCAUGAGCUUGGCCUAAAGAGGCCACUGGGUGGCAGGAGCUGGGUGUGUAGAAGCUGCUGAAAGGUUGGGAGCUUGGCUUGGGGGGUCCACAGUGAGGCAGAUGCUGGGCGUGAAGAAUCUGCUGUGAGGCAGAUGUUGGGACUGUAGAGGCCGACGGGAGGCAGAGGCUGGGCCUGGAGGGGCCACCAAGAUGCAGGAGCUGGGCCUGGAGAGGCUGCAAAGAAGCAUGAGCUGGGCCUGGUGAGGUCGACUUGAGAAAGUUCAGGGCCUGGAGAGAAGGCUGGGAGGCAGGAGCUGGGUCUAAAGAGGCCAUUGUAACGAUGGAGCUGUGCCUGUGGAGGCUGUUGUGAGGCAGUAGCCUCAUCUGCGGAGACUGCCGUGAGGUAGGGUAUGGGCCUAAAUAGGCCAUGGUGAGUCAUGAGCUUGGUCUGUAGAGGCUGACUGGAGAAAGUUCUGGGCCUGGAGAGGCUGCCGGGAGGUAGGAGCUGGGCCAAAAGAUGUAAGCACAUUUGCAUUUAUUAGGCACUUUAUUUCCAUUAUUACACUGUAAUAUAUAAUAAAAUAAUUAUAGAACUCACCA
rnacentral:lncRNA from 1 species